AUCCACUCAUUCAUAAUUACAUGAAUAACAUCAAACUAUUUCUGUAAGCUCUGAAAGUUGACAUAAGGAAUAUAUGCAACUGCAAUAAUAAUCUUUCUUGUUGUUUUAUACAUAUACAGAUAACCUGUGAGACUUUAAAAUUUGGCUCCAUUCAAGAACUCAGAAUCCUGAAAUUUUUUUUCACUAUCAUCAUCCAAGGAAUACUUUGCAGAAACUACUUCCCUUUUCAAGAGUGUUUCCAAGACACAGGGCAAGGAUCCAGGACAAUUACAAGGGACUCAUGAUGAAAAAGGAUAUCCACUGGCAUAGAUGGAACAGAUGGAGUCUGAAUGCAGAUUCAAAUUCUUCACUUCAUUAUCUCCAUGAAUUUUUCUCUCUUGUAAACAAUGUGUCUUGUUUUAUACAAUGACAAUCAUGGACAAAUGAAUUAAAAUCUAUAUCAUAUUACCUGCCUCCUUCAGGAAGGGUGAGGAUAGGAGGAAGGAAGAGAACAUGAUUUACAAAAUGAGAGAAAAUUAAUAAUAAAAUUUGUCUUGACUAAAAAAAUGAAAGAGUU
rnacentral:lncRNA from 1 species